rnacentral:rRNA from 1 species
CAUAGGUUAAUGAGGCGAACCGGGGGAACUGAAACAUCUAAGUACCCCGAGGAAAAGAAAUCAACCGAGAUUCCCCCAGUAGCGGCGAGCGAACGGGGAGGAGCCCAGAGCCUGAAUCAGUGUGUGUGUUAGUGGAAGCGUCUGGAAAGGCGCGCGAUACAGGGUGACAGCCCCGUACACAAAAAUGCACAUAUUGUGAGCUCGAUGAGUAGGGCGGGACACGUGGUAUCCUGUCUGAAUAUGGGGGGACCAUCCUCCAAGGCUAAAUACUCCUGACUGACCGAUAGUGAACCAGUACCGUGAGGGAAAGGCGAAAAGAACCCCGGCGAGGGGAGUGAAAAAGAACCUGAAACCGUGUACGUACAAGCAGUGGGAGCCUCUUAAUGGGGUGACUGCGUACCUUUUGUAUAAUGGGUCAGCGACUUAUAUUCUGUAGCAAGGUUAACCGAAUAGGGGAGCCGAAGGGAAACCGAGUCUUAACUGGGCGUUAAGUUGCAGGGUAUAGACCCGAAACCCGGUGAUCUAGCCAUGGGCAGGUUGAAGGUUGGGUAACACUAACUGGAGGACCGAACCGACUAAUGUUGAAAAAUUAGCGGAUGACUUGUGGCUGGGGGUGAAAGGCCAAUCAAACCGGGAGAUAGCUGGUUCUCCCCGAAAGCUAUUUAGGUAGCGCCUCGUGAAUUCAUCUCCGGGGGUAGAGCACUGUUUCGGCAAGGGGGUCAUCCCGACUUACC